UGGCUUAGGACGAACGCUGGCGGCGUGCCUAACACAUGCAAGUCGAGCGGUGAAACCCUUCGGGGUGGAUUAGCGGCGGACGGGUGAGUAACACGUGGGUAACCUGCCUCAAAGAGGGGGAUAGCCUCCCGAAAGGGAGAUUAAUACCGCAUAACAUUAUUUCUUCGCAUGAAGAGAUAAUCAAAGGAGCAAUCCGCUUUGAGAUGGACCCGCGGCGCAUUAGCUAGUUGGUGAGGUAAUGGCUCACCAAGGCAACGAUGCGUAGCCGACCUGAGAGGGUGAUCGGCCACAUUGGAACUGAGAUACGGUCCAGACUCCUACGGGAAGCAGCAGUGGGGAAUAUUGCGCAAUGGGGGAAACCCUGACGCCAGCAACGCCGCGUGGGUGAAGAAGGCCUUCGGGUUGUAAAGCUCUGUCUUCUGGGACGAUAAUGACGGUACCAGAGGAGGAAGCCACGGCUAACUACGUGCCAGCAGCCGC
rnacentral:rRNA from 1 species